AAUAAGUACAGUUUUACACUAUUCAUCUUCAACGUUUGACCGUUCGUCUUAUUUAAUUUUUUUAUUACUAAUUUUAUUGUUAUUAGAUGAUAAAGUAUGAAUAGUACUUUAUGUGUGACUAAUUUUUUUAAAAAAAUUCAUAAAAUUUUUAAAUAAGACGAACGGUCAAACGUUGGACACGGAUUUCCACGGCUACAUUUAUU
rnacentral:pre_miRNA from 1 species